rnacentral:rRNA from 1 species
AAACCUAAAGGCAUAAUUAACUUAACUUUUUUAAAAAAAUAUGGGAUCAAUUAUAUAUAUAAUUUAUAAAUAUAUAAAUAUAUAAUAUUCCAUCCCGGGGCGUUCUAUAUAGUUAUGCAUUUUAAUAUAUUUUUAUAUAUAUUAUAUAUGUCUCUAACUAGAGCGUACCUUGAGUAUAUAUGUUGUGACCCGAAAGAUGGUGAACUAUACCUGAUCAGGUUGAAGUCAGGGGAAACCCUGAUGGAAGACCGAAACAGUUCUGACGUGCAAAUCGAUUGUCAGAAUUGGGUAUAGGGGCGAAAGACCGAUCGAACCAUCUAGUAGCUGGUUCCUUCCGAAGUUUCCCUCAGGAUAGCUGGUGCAUUUAAAUUUUAUUAAAAAAUAAUCUUAUCUGGUAAAGCGAAUGAUUAGAGGCCUUAGGGCCGAAACGACCUUAACCUAUUCUCAAACUUUAAAUGGGUAAGAACCUCACCUUUCUUGAUAUGAAGGUGAUAGGUUAUGAUAUAUUGUGCCCAGUGGGCCACUUUUGGUAAGCAGAACUGGCGCUGUGGGAUGAACCAAACGUGAUGUUACGGCGCCCAAAUUAACAACUCCUACUGAUACCAUGAAAGGCGUUGCUUGCUUAAAACAGCAGGACGGUGGACAUGGAAGUCGUAAUCCGCUAAGGAGUGUGUAACAACUCACCUGCCGAAGCAACUAGCCCUUAAAAUGGAUGGCGCUCAAGUUGYAUGCCUAUACAUCACCGCUAAAGUAUAUGAUUUAUUAAAAAAUAUACAAAAUUAAUUUAUAUUUGUWWUNNNACUCUAGUGAGUAGGAARRUACAAUGGUGUGCGUUGAAGUGUUUGRCGUWAGCUUGCAUGGAGCCGNNAUUGGUACAGAUCWNSCUGNNAGANNCNANNMGUCNAAUGAGACCGAGUUNNCUUUCUUUUNUUAAGGGGCACCCNCGAGCAGGGCUUGCUCAMGAAAUANGGSGNACCUNNNUUCAAGAGRAUGGCCUAACACUNNNUGGGNAAAUGUUNUUCCCNNNCCCCDUAUGNAAANCUAAUNCAUUGNGGRUANGCAUANAMUAUGUUMUUCAUAUGMCMGANCCAAAUCCCCAUCCGNGNUNCNACNNGCAAUNUNUCNACGCCAGGGAAUANAGUUCCGGUNNGSGAANCCAGUUGAGUAUACGUUUGUAAUUAAAAAUGGGCUUUUAUGCUCAUCCUGGUAACAGAAACAACCAUAAAGAAGCCGUCGAGAAAUAUCGAAAGAGUUUUCUUUUCUGUUUUAUAGUCGUACUACCAUGGAAGUCUUUCGAAGAGAGAUAUGGUAGAUGGACUAGAAGAGCAUGGCAUUUACUGCUGUGUCGAUAUUUUCUCCUCGGACCUUGAAAAUUUAUGGUAGGGUAACGCAAACUUCUUAACAGGCCGUACCGAUAUCCGCAGCUGGUCUCCAAGGUGAAGAGUCUCUAGUCGAUAGAAUAAUGUAGGUAAGGGAAGUCA